rnacentral:lncRNA from 1 species
CAGUUCUUCCAAUUCGACACAGUUAUUUAUUUAUUUUUUUAAGGUCCAAACUCCUGUGCAGAGCAAGCAUCCAAAUGCUGUCAUCCUCUCAGCCCCAUGCUCUAGCUCAUUUUUCACACCACUGGAUUUAAUUUACUAUUAUCGUGCCUGGAAUGUGUUUGCAUCUGUAUUCUUGAGAGAUUGCUAUACAGCUCAUUUGAGCCUCACAAGAUUAAAACUUGGUAAGAAAGUAGACACGGAAGUGUGUCUCUGUCCAGUUCCACCUAAACUGUGCUGGCAGAAACUUUGGCUCCUGCUGCUUAGCUCCUUCAGCGACCUGCGAGUCUGUCUCACGAAAAGAUACCGACCGCCAUCUUGAAUUUCUAAGCACUAAACACGAAGAGAUGUGAGUUUCUCAAAAGGAGAGGUCGAGGAAUCUGAAUGUCAUUUUUCAAAUCGAGCAUCAGACUUUUUAUGCAGAAGACAAUAAGGAAGUUGGAUGACAUACCUGCAAGGUACAAAUGAGGG